AGUGAACGCUGGCGGUAGGCCUAACACAUGCAAGUCGAACGGCAGCACAGUAAGAGCUUGCUCUUACGGGUGGCGAGUGGCGGACGGGUGAGGAAUACGUCGGAAUCUACUUUUUCGUGGGGGAUAACGUAGGGAAACUUACGCUAAUACCGCAUACGACCUACGGGUGAAAGCAGGGGAUCUUCGGACCUUGCGCGAUUGAAUGAGCCGAUGUCGGAUUAGCUAGUUGGCGGGGUAAAGGCCCACCAAGGCGACGAUCCGUAGCUGGUCUGAGAGGAUGAUCAGCCACACUGGAACUGAGACACGGUCCAGACUCCUACGGGAGGCAGCAGUGGGGAAUAUUGGACAAUGGGCGCAAGCCUGAUCCAGCCAUACCGCGUGGGUGAAGAAGGCCUUCGGGUUGUAAAGCCCUUUUGUUGGGAAAGAAAAGCAGCAGGUUAAUACCCCGCUGUUCUGACGGUACCCAAAGAAUAAGUACCGGCUAACUUCGU
rnacentral:rRNA from 1 species